UACGAAGGGGGCUAGCGUUGCUCGGAAUUACUGGGCGUAAAGCGCACGUAGGCGGCUUCUUAAGUCGGUGGUGAAAUCCUGGAGCUCAACUCCAGGACUGCCCUUCGAUACUGGGAAGCUCGAGUCCGGGAGAGGUGAGUGGAACUGCGAGUGUAGAGGUGAAAUGCGCAGAUAUCAGGAAGAACACCAAUGGCGAAGGCAGCUCUCUAGGACGGUACUGACGCUGAGGCGCGAAAGCGUGGGGAGCAAACAGG
rnacentral:rRNA from 1 species